rnacentral:rRNA from 1 species
GAUGAACGCUAGCGGGAGGCCUAACACAUGCAAGCCGAGCGGUAUUGUUUCUUCGGAAAUGAGAGAGCGGCGUACGGGUGCGGAACACGUGUGCAACCUGCCUUUAUCUGGGGGAUAGCCUUUCGAAAGGAAGAUUAAUACUCCAUAACAUAUUGAACGGCAUCGUUUGAUAUUGAAAGCUCCGGCGGAUAUAGAUGGGCACGCGCAAGAUUAGCUAGUUGGUGAGGUAACGGCUCACCAAGGCGAUGAUCUUUAGGGGGCCUGAGAGGGUGAUCCCCCACACUGGUACUGAGACACGGACCAGACUCCUACGGGAGGCAGCAGUGAGGAAUAUUGGUCAAUGGGUGCAAGCCUGAACCAGCCAUCCCGCGUGAAGGACGACUGCCCUAUGGGUUGUAAACUGCUUUUACACCGGAGAAAACCCCCCUACGUGUAGGGGCUGAUAGUAUGUGAGAAUAAGCAUCGGCUAACUUCGUGCCAGCAGCCGCGG